rnacentral:lncRNA from 1 species
AAGAGAAAACAAUGCUGAAAUUUAUUAUCAAAGUGUCUAACCCCCUUUGCUUGUACAAAAGGAGCUUUUUUAUAGGCUAGAGACCUAGGGGCCUAAUCCUUUUUAGAUUUGGAUUUUGCGGCCCAUCUUCCUACCACUAGCAAGAGUAGUUCGGUCCACACUUAACAUAAGUUGGGUCGAAUUACUUAACUCCACUAAUUAACUAGACCAACUAAUUAAAACAUGACACUAUAACAACCAACUCAACUAACGAAACCAACGAUUAACAUUACUUGAUGCUUCAUUGACUUGGAUCAAUUUGUAGACAACUUCAAGCCUUCAAUGUCUCUAUGAAAGCCUUGAGUCAAGGCCGCUAUCGAUCUCGCCAUCCGUGCACACAUCAGUCCCCUCCUCUUGAGAAGAAUUUGUCCUCAAAUCUGGAUGGAGAUGAAUGAUACUAACAAGAGGUAGUAGUAUGACACCUCAAAUCGACAGUGCGCUUGGAGGUCAGCCACAUUGGGAACAAAUGAACGGUCACGAGCCAAGUUAAAUGUCGUUUGGUUAGCUUCAUGAGGCUCUCAAACAAAGACAUGCGCCAAGAUAGGAAAGAGCUUGUGUAAGGCUCGUGAAAAUUCUAGAUAGCAAUCCAAAGCUCUCUAAUCAGCCUUUCGGCCAUGGAUUGUCAUAUUGUCACCUACACAAUAAAUCUCAUAGUUAGUGGUCAUAGGCAUACAAUUGUGCAACAGCUCACCAUUCUCAUGCACAAGAUAAGGAUCUUCAUAAUGAUGCUCAUGGAAGCUAGAGAAAUCCCGAAUUUGGUUGUUCAAGGUGGUAUGAUUCUUCCCUGGUUGUCGCUGAUUUGGCACAACUUGCCUAUCUGGAGGUGGAAUAUUGAAUCAAUCAGGUUGCACUUCCCUAGAAGCACGAACCAGCGAGGUAAGACCAAUAUUCGGAUCUUGAUUGACACAUUUGUGGGCAUCACUAGACAUAAGUGGCAGCAAUGAAGUGAAACACACUCCAUACGAAUCGCAUGGAUUUGUGCAAGUUGGAGUUGGUAAAGUAAGCUCGUGGUGACCAGCUUUUGGACAUGUGAAGAAGCACGAAUGUGCACCACUUUUAGCAGGAAUAAGCACGAAAUCGGGUUGCAAGUCUUUAAUCAUAGUUGGGAAAUUUUGGACAGCGUUACAACCUACAAAAACAAAAUAACCUUCAACUUGAAACAAUUCAGAAAUUGGGUAAAGAACUAAUGGGACAUUAUUAGCUAGAUGGUAAGAAGGCGUAGAACAAGAUUUAAAUGAGAAAACUCCCUUUAACACUUCAAUAUUCCUUCCACCAAUUGAUUCAACUUGAGAUUCCAGUGCUAGUCCUUUACGCUUCUCAUCAACACCUACAUAAAAGCAACAAGAGUUAGUGCUAGUAAUAUGCUCAAAAUAAGGCAAAGGUGAUGAAUGAACCAUAGGUAGAGAACAAGAAGUAGAAUAUGGAAUUUCCCUUUUAGGAUGAGCUCGAAUGAAUCCUCCAAUGCGUAGACAGGUUUGAAUGGAUAUUGUUCCAUGAAUUGAUACCAAAGAGAUUUAGUUCCUAGAAGACAAACUCCAUGGAAACUCACAAAGUGUCCAAGUGACUUCGGGAUGGAACAUGCCAUGACUAACUCUACGUGACUUUGUUUAAUCUACACAAACUAAGAGAUACCAAACAAAACACAUGUUAGCCGGUUAGCAAACAAAAUGUUCACACUUUCAACCUUUGUAAACACGGUCAACCCCUCCUCUUUACUCUUCACUAAGGCCAAAUUAUUCUUGCCUUUUCCCACUCUAUUCUUCUCGGGCCAUUGCUCACUCAUUGUACGUGAGGUUUGAUUUUCAUUGUCUAGCUCAUGUUCAUGGCUCGGUUGCAAGCUCAUGUUCAUGGCUCGGUUGCAACUCAUUCAUAUUUGGCUCUUCAAUCAACGAGGAACUAGAAUGAAAUUUUCCUUUAUUAGCACCGGUUGACAUAUGAUUAAGUUGCUCCAAGUGUGAAUCCAGCACUUGGCUAAUUCUUUCCAUCAUAGAAUCAACCAAUGCUUUAGUCCGACUUCAAAAAUCAUCGCUUGAUUCAUGAAGCUUUGACUCAAUUCGAGAAUUCUCGAAUUCCUUGUCUUGAUUGUCAAGGUACUUCUUAGAUGAAUCUCGUUUGCUUGAGGUUGACCUCGAUUUAUAUGCUCUGCGCAAACUUCGUUGCUCCUUCUCAUACUCAUCACAAUCUCGUUUAUACUUUUCAUAUACACACGAAGCAUGGUAACGUUCCAUCUCCUCCCAGAGUGAACGAAACUCAUGUUGUGAACUAGAUUCUAUGGAACUAGAGUGCUUGGGAAUAGGCCUCUUGGAACCCCUCCUCCUGAAAGGUUCAUUCUCCAAGAAUUCUUGGUUGUAUGAGUAAGAGGCAACUCCCCUAGGCAUGAUUACGUGACUUGCCAAAAUGGUUAGCAAAGAAAAAGAGAUUCCUCACGACACACAAUCUCAUGUGUAUGUCAUCACUCAUGUAUGACUCAAAGCACUCAAAUAAGGUUACCAAAAUUCCUUACCUUGCCGGUUUGAAUAGUUGAGAAAUGCCACGCAAAAAUCCAAAAAUUGUUCACCCACUUUCACACAAGAGUAACCAACGAGCAAAGAUAUGUUGGACACACUUGGGAUGCUGUUAUAUGACUCAAAUAAUGCAGGUGAGUAGCCCUAAGAUGAUCGAUACUAGAUAAGACACAAAACUCAAAAGCUGAAAUUUUGGAAUUCCUAGAAAGAACUCUACCCGAUGACCCAAUUUCUGGAAUUUGUUGGGUUACUGUUUGGGAUGUGGCGAUUGGCUGGGUUUGGGAAUCUGAUUUGGUUAGUAUGUGGGCGGUGGAGGUCGUUCAAGGCUUUGGGAAAUGAUUUGGUGUGGCGGUUGGCUGGGUUUUGGGAAUCUGAAUUGGUUUGUAUGUGGGCGGUGGAGGUCAGUCAAGGCUUUGGGAAAUGAUUUGGUGUGGCGGUCGGUUGGGUUUGGGAAUCUGAUUUGGUGUGGCCGUUGGCUGGGUUUUUGGGAAACUGAAUUGGUUAGUAUGUGGGGCUGUUUAGGUCGGUCAAAGCUUUGGGGAAUGAUUUGGUGUUUGGCCGAAUAGCUUCUUGGUAGCCUCUAAACCCAAAGGGACUAGGAUUAGUUGUAGUUCAAGGUGGGCUUGGUUCACAAUUAGGAAACUAAAGCCAAUAUCUUUUCUUUCCUUUUUUUUUCCUCUUUCUUUUUCGUUUUUUUGUUUCUUCCUCCUUUUUUUUUUUUGGCUCAAUCAGAUUCCUUCAAGAUGCAAUUCCAGCCCCAAAAAUUUCCUUGCAUUCGGUUCAAUAUCCAAGAUUCACCAAGACAAGACUGAAGUUGUUUCAAGUAUCUAGAACCCCACGAUUUUGGUUUCAAGAAGUUCCAAAUCAGUCUUUGGUAGGCCAAGAUUUUCAAGAAAUUUAUUCAAGAAGCUCAAGAACUCACCCAAAUAUGUUUUGGUAUUCAAGUUUUGCAAGAAAACAACAUAAAAGUUCGAGAACAAGAGUAAACAGGUUCGGUCAGCCCCCAAAAGAGAAUUCCAGCAAUGACACAAGGAAACAACAAUCAGGUAUGCGACUCUCCUCUUUUUUUCUUUUUUUCUUUUUUUUUUUUAAACUUUCGCUGGGUUGUCUACACGACCCAAACACACAAUAACCACAAGAGUUUUUCCACAAUCUAGGCAACAACCAACAGCAACGAGCAAACCAGAAUUCUGGACAGUUUUACAACACCAAACAAGACCACUUGAGAAACGACGACACGAGAGGGAACCCUAGUUGCCGCGACUCCUCUUUCUUUUUUUUUUUUUUUUGAUUUCUGGGCAAACAAGAACGACCCACACAACUAAACACAAGCAACAAUUGAUGAAUCUGGGAAAUUUAGCGCAAAACACGAUGCAACAAAUCUGGAAAUUGCGGAUAGUGAACUAACCCACAAGGACAGAUUUGCGACGACAACGCAAGAGACAGAAUUUUAACCUACAAGGCACGCUACGGGCAGAAUUUUAAACCAAAUGACAACACCACUACGGUCAGAUUUCAAGACAAUGCUUAGACACAAUAACGGACAGAAUGAGAAAACUCACGAUAAUGAAGAGACAACGACUACGGACAGAUUACGACGCGACAACAACAAGCAACUAAACGGACAGAAUUUUUUUCUUUUUUUUGUUUUUGUUUUGAACAAUGCAGCGGAACACAAGGAACCGUAGACGACAAACAAAGACAAAACAAUGGAUAUAACGGAUUGAUACCUCAACCUAGGCUCUGAAGCCAACUGAUACGCUCCUCGGUCAACACGUUCCGAGACACAUAGCACGUUUGCCCAAGGAUCUAGCGAGACUUCCAAUCAUUUGGAUUGUGACUCCUAGAAUCAAGAAGGAUGAGACGACUUGACUCAAGGCGGUACAACGGCAACUCCAAUUGAGGUGGUUACUCAAGUAGAUAGGUCGGACGAACAAUCAAGAACAAUCGCGAGAUUGCUCAAGAACCCUUGCCAAGCAAGUAAUGGAAUUGUAGUUCUUGAAUGUAAGAGAAAACAAUGCUGAAAUUUAUUAUCAAAU